rnacentral:rRNA from 1 species
CCCUUAGAUGUCCUGGGCCGCACGCGCGUUACACUGAUGCAUUCAACGAUCUUAUAACCUUGGCCGAGAGGCCUGGGCAAUCUUGUUAACGUGCAUCGUGAUAGGGAUAGAUUAUUGAAAUUAUUAAUCUUGAACGAGGAAUUCCUAGUAAACGCAGAUCAUCAAUCUGCAUUGAUUACGUCCCUGCCCUUUGUACACACCGCCCGUCGCACCUACCGAUUGGAUGGUCCGGUGAAGCCUCGGGAUUGUGGUUCUUGCCGCUUUAUUGUGGCGUGACCGCGAGAACUUGUCUAAACCUUAUCAUCUAGAGGAAGGUGAAGUCGUAACA